CUGAGAUCUGAGGAAUGCCCUGGAGGAACAUCAGGGAGGAAAAAUCUGUCAGUGGACUUACCCCAGGCAGUGGAGAGUUACUGGUUUCACAACUUGUUUCUUAUGCUAAUUCCCAUAAUUGAAUCUGCAGGGGGCAGGGAGGGGGGAGGGGAAUCCCAGAAAAACUAUUCCGAGUGUUUGGGUGGAUAGUGAGUAGGAAAUGGCAGUCCUAGAGAAAAACCCUGUUAACCACAUUUUAUAAGUUGUUUUUCCCAAAGGGAAAAACCUAAACCUGCCACUGCCUGGAGGCUGGGUGGCUGGGUGCAUGUCUUCCUUGCAUUUGAGGUGCUUCCUAUAAGGAAGACGUUGACCCAAUUUAAGGAGAUUGGUGGCUGUGCAGAUGCCCUCCCUUGGGACAUCUCUGGGAGCUUGGCUGAAGCUGGGUUCCCAGUAGGGAUUUUGAAAAGAAGCCUUCAUUAUUGGCAUAGGAAACACCCACACUUCCAUCUCCUCCCUGCAUUUCCCCAGGACUCUUGGUCUCAGAGCUGCAAAGAGAGUGAUGCCCAAAGGUUGGACUUCUGUAUCAACAUCCAGCCUCCGAGUGAGUUUCUGGAAUUACCAUCUUCCCCAAUUAUAACGAUCCCUAUCUCCAUUCUUCAUUCCCGAGUCCCCAGGGGCAGCAGAGUACAUCGAGGUUUAAGCCCUGCUCCCCAGGAAGCUGAGCCCGGGAUGCCCACUCUGCAGCCCUCACACCCACCACAUCCCUGCUCUGACAUUCACCCAGGGACUCAUAGGCCUCACUGUUCCAAACUCCACAACCUGCAGGCCCUGGGGCACCUUGUUGCUCCUGACUCCCACCAGAACUUGGCUUUCAGGAAAGCUGGGCAAUGUCUGGAAAGUCAAUUAGGAAGAACUGGGGACAGGCCAAGGACUCAGACUCAGUGACAACCACAGUGAAAAUGAACAGGGAGGCUGGGCCCAGCUCUGCCUACAGAAGAAGGGAUGCCCUGCACGUCGAGACAACCCUGCGCUUAUCCUGAUGUGCUCCCAUCCCCUCCCUGGCAUCCAGCUCCUGCAUCCUCCCUAAACCAUGCUGUAAGGCUGACAACCCCAGAUCAACAAAAGGCACACAAGCAGGGACAGGCAGACAUUUG
rnacentral:lncRNA from 1 species